CCUACGGUAGGCAGCAGUGGGGAAUAUUGCACAAUGGGGGAAACCCUGAUGCAGCGACGCCGCGUGAGUGAAGAAGUAUCUCGGUACGUAAAGCUCUAUCAGCAGGGACGAUAAUGACGGUACCUGACCAAGAAGCCCCGGCUAACUACGUGCCAGCAGCCGCGGUCAUACGUAGGAUCCGAGCAUUAUCCGGAGUUACUGGGUGUAAAGAGUUGCGUAGGUGGCAUAAUAAGUAGCUAGUGAAAUCUGGUGGCUCAACCAUUCAGACUAUUAGCUAAACUGUUAAGCUCGAGACCGUUAGGGGUAACUGGAAGUUCUAGUGUAGGAGUGAAAGCCGUAGAUAUUAGAAGGAACACCAAUAGCGUAGGCAGGUUGCUGGGACGGUUCUGACACUAAGGCACGAAAGCGUAGGGAGCAAACGGGAUUAGAUACCCGAGUAGUC
rnacentral:rRNA from 1 species